GUGGGGAAUAUUGGACAAUGGGCGAAAGCCUGAUCCAGCAAUGCCGCGUGAGUGAUGAAGGCCUUAGGGUUGUAAAGCUCUUUUACCAGUGAUGAUAAUGACAGUACCUGGAGAAUAAGCUCCGGCUAACUCCGUGCCAGCAGCCGCGGUAAUACGGAGGGAGCUAGCGUUGUUCGGAAUUACUGGGCGUAAAGCGCACGUAGGCGGUUACUCAAGUCAGAGGUGAAAGCCCGGGGCUCAACCCCGGAACUGCCUUUGAAACUAGGUAACUAGAAUCUUGGAGAGGUCAGUGGAAUUCCGAGUGUAGAGGUGAAAUUCGUAGAUAUUCGGAAGAACACCAGUGGCGAAGGCGACUGACUGGACAAGUAUUGACGCUGAGGUGCGAAAGCGUGGGGAGCAAACAGGAUUAGAAACCCUGGUAGUCC
rnacentral:rRNA from 1 species